rnacentral:rRNA from 1 species
AGUGAACGCUGGCGGUAGGCCUAACACAUGCAAGUCGAACGGCAGCACAGUAAGAGCUUGCUCUUACGGGUGGCGAGUGGCGGACGGGUGAGGAAUACAUCGGAAUCUACUUUUUCGUGGGGGAUAACGUAGGGAAACUUACGCUAAUACCGCAUACGACCUACGGGUGAAAGCAGGGGAUCUUCGGACCUUGCGCGAUUGAAUGAGCCGAUGUCGGAUUAGCUAGUUGGCGGGGUAAAGGCCCACCAAGGCGACGAUCCGUAGCUGGUCUGAGAGGAUGACACGCAAACUGGAAAUGGGACACGGGUCCAGCCCCCAAGGGGGGGAAGAGUGGGGAAUUUUGGGCAAGGGGGGGAAAGCCUGCCCAAGCCAUCCCGGGGGGGGAAAAAAGUCCUCGGGUUUGAAAACCCUUUUUUUUGGGAAAAAAAAGCAGGAGGUUAAAACCCCGCUGUUGUGGGGGUACCAAAAAAAAAAGCACCGCUUACUUGGGG